GGCGUUGUGGCAUAGUGGGUUAAUGCCUUGGCCUGAAGCGCCAGCAUCACAUAUGGGCGCCGGUUCGAGACCCGGCUGCUCCA
rnacentral:tRNA from 1 species